rnacentral:misc_RNA from 1 species
UUAAGUUCAGCGGGUAGUCCUACCUGAUUUGAGGUCAAAUCGUCAAGUAAUUGUCUCGGGACGAGACAGCUAGGAGCUGAGCACCCUGUACAUGCAGCAAUACAACCUGGUAAGACAUCUAUCAAUACCAAGCUGGAGAGGCUUGUACGUGGGCCCUGCUAAUUCAUUUGAGAAGAGCUGACAAGGCCAGCAGCUUCCAC